AGAAUGGUCAAUUUUCAUUGUUUUCAUGUGGCUUUCCAGUAUUCCCAGCAUCAUUUGUUGAAAAGACUUUCUUUUCUCCAUUGUAUGCCCUCAGCUCCUUUGUCAAAGAUAAGCUGUCCAUAGAUGUGUGGUUUUAUUUCUGGGCUUUCAAUUUUGUUCCAUUGAUCUGUGCACCUGUUUUUGUACCAGUACUAUGCCUUGGCCUUCUCCCGGCCCACAGGGUGGCCAGUGUUUCUGCGGAGCAGGGGCGACGAUGCCUCUGGAUGCCAGGGCCAACACACCGAUCCGGAGGACGACGGGGGCAUCCAAGACAGCCUGUGUUGCAGAUACCAAGAUCUCUGGAACUAAGGAAAGAUAUUACUGAUUUGAAAGAAACCACUUCACAAAAAGUACCAUUUUCACUUGAUGAAAAAAUUCUAAAACAGCAAAUCAAUGUAAAACCCAAACACAGCAGUGACGGGAUCCUAUGCUGAAGAUCAACAUCACAACCACAAAGCACUCCCCAAGGUUUUUACUGCAAAGGCUGGUUGGACGGGAGAAAUCCCAGCCCUUCGGCCUCCAACUGCGCUAAGUCAGUGAGGAGACCCACACACGGUUAUGAGAGACCUUAACCCUUGCUGCUCUCAGUUCCCAUCCUGCACAUCAGCGGAAUCAGGAGCAACUGGCAGAAGACAACAUGACAGACCGGGCGUUCUGUGCCACCAGCUGGGCUGUGCAAGGAGCAGACAGCACUAACUAUGCAGUGCUCUUGCUGACAAGGUUUAGCCUGAAUUCAGUCAUGAGGUAGUCCUAGAAGGUUAAAUCAUCUUUUGUCCUGUGUGUCAAGUUCUGUAGGGACCUUUUUAGACCAUUAACCCACCUGUAAACAGGGCUCCUGAGAGUUUGGUUAUUUGUGCCACAGCAAGAUGGAGGACCCUGGUGUUUGGAGACCUUUUUUAGUACCAGCCUUGACGUGAACUGUUUGCUAAGAUUUUGGGCAAGUCAUUUCACCUUUCUCAGCUUUAAUUUCUUUUUUUUUUAUUGAGUUAUUGAUAGGUUACAAUCUUGUGAAAUUUCAAUUGUACAUUAAUGUUUGUCAGUCAUGUUGUAGGUGCACCACUUCACCCUUUGUGCCCACCCCCCACCCCACCUUUCCCCUGGUAUCCACUAAACUGUUCUUGAUCCAUAGUUUUAAAUUCCUCAUAUGAGUGGAGUCAUACACAGAUUAUCUUUCUCUCGCUGGCUUAUUUCACUUAACAUAAUCCUCUCAAGGUCCAUCCAUGUUAUUGCAAAUGAAAUGAUUUUGUUCUGUUUUGCAGCUGAG
rnacentral:lncRNA from 1 species